rnacentral:sRNA from 1 species
GGGAUCCCUCGCGGGUGCACCG